rnacentral:rRNA from 1 species
CGACGCCGCGUGAGGGAUGACGGCCUUCGGGUUGUAAACCUCUUUCAGCACGGAAGAAGCGAAAGUGACGGUACGUGCAGAAGAAGCGCCGGCUAACUACGUGCCAGCAGCCGCGGUAAUACGUAGGGCGCAAGCGUUGUCCGGAAUUAUUGGGCGUAAAGAGCUCGUAGGCGGUUUGUCGCGUCUGCUGUGAAAGCCCGGGGCUUAACCCCGGGUGUGCAGUGGGUACGGGCAGACUUGAGUGCAGUAGGGGAGACUGGAAUUCCUGGUGUAGCGGUGAAAUGCGCAGAUAUCAGGAGGAACACCGAUGGCGAAGGCAGGGCUCUGGGCUG